UACCAUAGCACAGCCACCCACCCUGCCCUGAGCACAGCCUGGCAUAUCCCCUCUGGGAGGAGCCCGGCACAGCCCCAGGCUCAGCCUGUCCCACGCAGAUCUGGGGGCAUACGUCCCCCCAGGCCUUCCCAGGGUGCACACAGCUGCAGGAGCCACUCCCCUCGGCUGCUGCCUGCCCUGAGCACAGCCCCAUGCAUCCCGCUCCCCCCCUGCCUCAAGCAGCCCCUUGCAGGCUGGAACUCUGCCAACCUGCAACGGGAAACCCACAGUUAACCAUGUUUUUCUCCUUUAAAGGAGAAAAUGCAUGUUUUUCUGCGGUGAAUAGAAUACCCAUAUCCCUGCUGAUAAGUAUUGUUGAUUGGGAUGUGAGGGGGUAAGGGGUAUGUGCUCCUUACAGGUUGGCACAGAGGUCCUGGCUACUUUGAGUAGGACCUGUGCUGAAUCAUUCCUGAUGCUCUCUACUUCAAUAUCCAUUGUAAAGAAGGUCUAAAAGCCUCAAGCGCUCUUCAUCUCCAGAAACCCCAUGAAUUGUGUUGACUAAUACAGAUUUGCUAAAAGAAGAACUUCUGUAGACAAUUUCCUUACUGAACCUGAUUGUCCAAACUAAGCCAGCUGUCUGACUGGUUUAUUUUCUUUGGUUUUGCUUCUGUAUCAGUUUUGGUCAUCAGGCUUCACUACAGUGAUUUAAAAUAAGAGGCAAAACCACUUCUUCCCCUGCUGGUUCUAACAAAUCCUGUAAAACCAGUAAUGGUGACAACCUUGCCAGGGGGGAUGGGGUGGAGGGGUAGGUUGUUUCCUUUUAUACAGUGUAGCUGAUGUGACUUUCCAUUAGUGCCCCCAAAACAUACAGCCAUCAAAUGUACAGGUUUAGACCUGAAAGCAGAAAUGGUCAGACUUCUUCCUAGGUAAAUAUGUAGUGUACCUUUCUUGUGAAAUGCUUGACCUGUGUACUUGAAAAAUAAAACUAUUCAGUGCCGCCUUGCAGUGAGGUGCUAUGAGAAAGGAAAACAAGAAAAUGUAAGGAUCUAAUUUUUAAAAAGUAAAGAAAGUAGUUGAAGCAAGGGCGGAUAUGGGGAGUGCAGUGGCCUGGUGCUACCCACUUUGGCUGUGUCAGGCAGGUACAGUAAGCUAUGAGCUCACUGUCUGGCAGUGCCAGCUCUGCACAGCUCCAGAGUUCAGGAUGUAAGCGUUGCUGCUGCUGUUGUAUGUGCAUGUGUUUGCAAGUAGGUGUAUAAAGGUAAAUAAUUUAGCUUUGCCUAGAUGCUUGCAAGCUUUUUCAUUACCCUUUAUGGUAUAUUUUGUGUAUAAGCUUAGUUACUUGUGAUAUCUUAUGAGGCACUUUUACAUGGUACUUUUCUUGUGUCUUUAUUGGCUGAUCUAGGGGGGCUGCUCAUCUCUGCUUUGUAAAAGUCAUUUUCAAUAGCUUUGUCAGUGUGUCUUCACUUCCAUUAAGUUGUCUUUCUCUGCUUGGAGCAAACAGGAGGGAAAACCAUUUUCUCUAGUAUCCUGUAUUUGCCUGUUUUUUAAGUCUACUUAUCACCUGGUAUAUUUAUAGAUUUCAUAGAUAUUCAGGGUUGGAAGGGACCUCAGCAGAUCGAGUCCAACCCCCAGCCCUGGGCAGGAAAGAGUGCUGGGGUCAUGACCCCAGGCAGGUGUUUGUCUAGUCUCCUCUUAAAGACCCCCAAGGUAGGGGAGAGCACCACCUCCCUUGGAAGCCCAUUCCCGAUUCUGGUAAACCUUACCAUAAAGAAAUUCUUCCUAAUGUCUAGUCUAAAUCUGCUCCCUGUCAGUUUGUGGCUGUAGUUUCUAGUUACUCCAGGAAAACAGAGUAUCUCCUAUUCCUUGCUGCUUCCCCCACCAACCCCCGCCGUCAAAUUUGUAGACCCCUGCCAAAUCCCCCUUCAUCCUUCUUUUACGGAGGCUGAUGAGAUCUAGGUCCCUCAACUUCUCCUCAUAGGACUUAUCCUACAGGCCCCUAAUCAUAUGAGUGGCCCUCCUCUGGACCCUCUCAAGGUUAUCCACAUUCCUUUUGAAGUGCAGCACCCGAAACUGAAUGCAGUACUCCAGCUGCGGCCUGACCAGUGCUGCAUAGAAGGGAAGUAUCACCUCCCUAAACCUGUUUGUGAUGCACCUAUUAAUGCAUGAUAGCUUUAUUGAUCAUUUCAUCAAAUUGCCGACUCAUGUUCAUCUUUGAAUCAACUAUGACUCUGAGAUCCCUUUCUGCUGCUGUGCUGCUUAGAAAGUCUUCCCCCAAUCUGUAUGCAUGUUGGUGCUUUAUUCUCCCUAGGUGCAGUACUCUGCACGUAUCCUUGUUAAACUUUAUUCUAUUUUGUUCUGUCCACUUUCCCGCUUGUCCAAGUCCGCCUGAAUCCGGUCUCUAUCUUCCAGAAUGUCUGUUUUGCCCCACAAUUUAGUUUCAUCUGCGAAUUUGGACAGUGUGUUUACUACACCCUUGACCAAAUCACUGUUGAAAAUGUUGAACAGCACUGGCCCAAGGACCGAGCCCUGAAGGGCUCCGCUGCCCACAUACUUCCAGGUCAAUAAUACUGACUUGUCCACCACCACUCUCUGGGUGUGUUCCAUUAGCCAAUUUGCCACCCUCCUGACUGUGUAAUCAUUUAAGUCACAGCUGCUCAGUUUUUUUAUGAAAAUGGGAUGUGACACUAUAUCAAAGGCUUUUUUAAAAUCCAAGUAUAUGACAUCCACCCCAACUCCUGCCUUUGCUUUGACAGUGUUUUUUCUGUUGUGUAUUUCUCCUGACAUUAAUAUAUCCCAGUUUUACAAGGGGAUAUUAGUUUCCUUGAAUUCCCUUAUGCUAUCAACCAGGGAACUAUGGUUUGCUAUUCCUGAUAUAGGCCUACACACACUACACUUCCUAGGUAAUGGGAAAUUUCUGAACAUUAUUAGAAUCUUAAUUUAAUGCUCUUCCUAAAAUAACUGCUUCUUGCUGCCACAGAGUAUCAUAUUUUACUGAAUGCCUUUUCUAUACCUCCAACAAAAUUCUUAGUAAUGCUACUCUUUGGCCAGCUGCAUUUAUGGUAGAAACAGUGGGACCCCAAGUAUAGACAGAGUUAAGACAACUUCCAGCCCUUUUGUUAACACUUCAGUUAAACCUGCCUUAUUUAAUUAACAUCAUGGUAAAAAUGAUGGGAGCUGACAGACUUGCCUGUACUAGAACUCUUUGCAGUAGUACUGAAGCAGUUUAUAGCACUAGUUAUUCCCUGGGGUAGGCAUAGGCAUUUUUCUCUCGCGUCAGAAUCAAGCCUACUCUGUGUUAUUCUUGGAUGCAGGCCUAUACUUUUAGCCUUGUAAAACUGUCUGGGAUUCCCUUAGUUCUUAUCGACAGACUGCUUUACUACCUCAUGUUACCGUAUUAUGCUGGCUUCAGCAUCAGUCAUUACUCUCAUCAUAAAGAAGGUCCUACCCAGUAGCAGUACAGCACAAGUCGUAUCUGAAAAACAGUGAGGUACUUCAAGGAUCAUAGUUAGCUGGGGAGAGACAGGGGUUGCAUAAUUUGUUUAUUAAUGAUCACAUUCUAACCAGACAUGCUACCUCAAAAUCUCAGUGCUGCUUUUCCCAAACUUACUUUUAAUAUACCAGGUAUGCCUAAGAAGAAUUGAUUUAGGCAGACAUUUAUCAUUAUCAAAGACUGGAGGAAGCUAACACAGAGGGAUACCAGCCGCUGCUUCUUAGGCUAGAGAGGACUCUUUGUCAAACUGAAAAUUAUUUGGAUGUUGAAAGAGUGGCUGAGAGAACAUGUGAUGGAGAAGUAGGAACAAGAGCAGGAAGUGUGCACUCACUCAUGCAAGAGGGAAACAACAUGCUUUGGAUCCAGGUGUAGGAAGUGGAAUCUGUGCCUCUCUAGCCACGGGAGAGAUUCUCUCACUUCAAGCCUGCUUUCUGUUACAUAAUAGUUACAGCCCAACAUGAAGUCCUUUAUUCUUCAUGAAUUACUAGAACUGAGAAUGCCCCAGGAUGUCAUAAGGAAAGCGGUCACACUUCUGAUGCUCGUAUCUCAUGUUUUUCCCAAACCCUUAGUGUCACUGGUUUUCCUUGCUGCCAGGAGAGGCAAAGUAUAUUCCUGUCCACAUUAGUGGCACUGAGUUGGACAGUUAGCACAGAGUUUACAAAUGAAGUCCCUAAGCAUUAUGACAGAGUGGUUUUAGUUUUGUAGAUGGUAGAAGUAUCGGGGCAUUGGAUCACUUUGGACAAGGGUGUCUGUCUAUCUGUUCUACAGGAUAAAUGCAGGAGUGAAUCAUCUCAACCUAAUCAACUGUUGGGGCAGAUGCCAGUUGCUCAAAAGCAGGCCAAACUGAGGGACCAUGAUCCAUCCCCACAGCACUGGUGUAAAAAGGUGGAAGUACUUAAGAACUUGCAGAGAUGUGAUAUUCUGCUUAUGCAAAUAGGUAUCACCCCAUUCAAAAUGUUGUGUUGUAACUCUCAAGUUAACUGGAUUUACAAAAGAGUUUUUUUAAAUGCUGCAUGCUCUGGCAAUGUUUGACAAACUUAAGAAAUAAACCUCUUGUAGUGUUAGGGUGUGAUCUUUUCAAAGCUGUGGAAACCACACAGCAAACAAGUUUUUGUUGCCAGAUUUGCAAAGGAAUUACCAGCACAAUACCUUGUGAACUGGGUGUCUUUCUUUGCUGUAAAUAAUACAGUUCCCUUUUGUUAAGAAUAUGCUAUAAGUAUGAAAGUGUCUUUCUUCGUUAACUAGAAUGCCUCUCAUUUCAGUAGAAGGUUACACCUAGAGGAAACUCCAAACAGCUGACAAGUUGGUAAUUUUUCUUUGGAGUUCGGUGUUUGAUGGUACUGAAAAUAUAGACUAGAAAUGUCACGGCACAGCUGGUCACAUUCAAGGGAUGUUGGUAGACAUCCCUGAGUUUUCGCACUCUACCUUAGGUCAUGUCUGCAAGUGGGGGAGAAAUCCCCACUUGCAGAUGAAUGCCCUGUGUUGGGGAGUGGGAGAACCCCCUGCAGGGGAUUUCCCUGCAUGCACCUGCAAGUGUAGAUCAGGGAGACUUGAACAGGGGUCCCAUCCCUCCACAUUUCAUUUUGUAAGGGAUUUCUCCCUGCAUGUGUCUGUAAAGCUUGCGGGGUGGGGGGAGGGACUUACAUUCCCCCUCUAUGCUUGCAGAUCCGUGCAGGAAAAUCACUUUGCAGGGACAUGAACCCUGAAAGUCCUGACUUUCCCUGUGUACCAAGGUGUACCCUUGGAGCUAACACACGUAGGCUGCAAUAAAGCAGCUCAAUUUAAUCCUAUCUUCUGUCAUGGACACAAAUUUAAAUAUUUGUGGUGCAACAGAAGGCAUAGAUGUCUAUUUGCUUUUCACUUUAUGCUACUGUAAUUUUUAUAGCAGCAUAAAGGUAACGUCUGUUUCCACCCAUAUAGUUCAAGGAGGCCUGGAUGUUGGCUGGAGAAGAGAUAAUGUAUAAAACAGGUGGGAUGCUCCUUUUGUUAAAAGUAUAGAUUACUAAAUGUUGUUUUUUUGCGAUGAGUUGCAGAAAACCAUGUGAGAUUUCUUCUUUUGUUUUUUAAGUAAAAUAUUUGUAUGUGGAGAUGGCAUGGUAAAACUAUAAAUAUUGGCAGAGGGAGAUCAACAGCAUGUGUAUUACCUAAUUCUUCUUUUCCUCUUUCUUUUAAAUUGACUAGAUUUCAGGUUGACUCCCUUGUACAUUUGUCAGUUUAUUGAAACUGAGACAUUCUCUAUUUUUAAGCUCUUUAUUAAAUAAUUGUAUUAUAGGGCAGAACAAUAGCUUCUUAAGCUAUGAGAGAAAGCACAUUGAACAUUUAUUUUCUUUUCUGAUGAGGAAAAAUAGACUUUGCAUAAUAAACUCUGAAUUCAUAUAUAAAAGUUGAAACAUGAUGUUCUUAGGCUUUUUUAAUGUUGAUGUAUAUUUUUUAAAGUUGGACUUGAGGAAGUAUUUUUGUAGAUGCAUUCCAGGCAUUUUUAGCACUGUGAGUUAGUAAUAUGGGGUCCACUGUGCUCUGACCUGCACAAGUCCUAUUCAAUUCAAAGAGUUCAGUGCUUGGAUUGCUUCAGAAUCGAGCCUUAUGAAUGUGUCAGCAACUAAUACCGUUUCUGCACAUACGUAGUUUGCUAUAAAAUACAUUGCCUCAUAAAACUGUGUUCCAGGAUCUAAGUUUCAUUAAAAAGUAUCUGUUAUUAUUUUAAAGAUACUCUUGAACAGGUGAACUGAGUGUAAUCUCAAUAUAGUAUAGUCUGCUUUGGUCUGUAGAUAAACUGAAACAACAGCUCUUGAAUGUGAGUACUUUACACUUUCCAUCCUAAUAUGCUGUUGACACGGCAUCUUAAUGAUAUGGAUAAGAAUGCUGCCUUAUAAAAUUGUAUUUCAUUGCUUGUUGUUUUAGCAGAAUUACCAGACUAUAGUAAUGAACUUGCAUGUCAAUGUGUGAUACUUUGGAAGGUGUUGAUGUGGCAAAUAUUAAGGGAACUGAGAGUUACAAGGAGCUCAUGGGUAGAAAACAAAGAAUUCAGGCCUCUAACAAAGUUGUCAGUUUUAGCUUGCUUAGCUUAUUUGAGGUUUGAUCCAGCUUCCACUGAAGUUGGUAGGAAACUUUUGAUUGACUUGUAUGAACAGUAUAUUAAGGCCACUAAGGACAAGAGCCAUGUUCUUCCUGGUGCCAGUGAUUUUAGUAGUUUCCCAAAUGUCAAAAUCUGAACCACUUUCCCAGGAGCAAUUAUGUAACUGUUUUCUGUACUGCUGUCUAAAUUCCAGACUUCCCUCACUGCUUAUGUUCCCUCUCAAUGCACUUCACCAGGAUGAAGAAAAAAAUGAUGUAGGGCACCAUGUAGCAAGCCAAAUGUCAAUAAUGACCUUGAAUGCUGCUCUCAUGACUUCCUGUCGUUCUAUGGUAAUUAGUAUUGGUGAGGGUGGUGGAUUGGGAGACUGGGAAAUGGAAUUAUUUAGUUUUCCACAGAUAGGUGCAGCAAGAGAGUGUGGCAGUGCAAGCAUUUUCCACUACUUUCUAUGCCUCUUUCCCGAGAUGGAAGCAUAUCUUUUAGAACACAAGUGGAGAUCAUUGUGAUUUUUUUUUUCAGGCCAUGGUCCAUCUGCUAAGGUUUCCAAUAUUACUGGCCCCUUAUGGUAUGCAAGGAGGGGAAGAAAUGUUUGCAUCUCUCCUAUUAGGAGUGGGAGUGAAGAUGCUCAUUUCACUUUGGUGCAGCCCAUUGAAAAUUUUGAGUACAACAUAAAAUAGAUUAGGUUAUAAUACAGAUUAAUAGAGGUAAAUGGUGCAGCUGAUAUUGCCCUGAUUUUUGCUGUUUAUUUUCAAAUUGUUUUGGUAAAAACAUUAACGAUAAAGUAUAGUAGAAAUAUAUUAGUUUUGCCAGAGAGCUGCAAAACACAGAGUCUUUUGGGUCCUUCACUAAUUUAGGUCCUUUUUGCUGGCAAAUAUAGGAAGCUCUGGAUGUGAUGCUUGGUUUUUUUCAAAUUGCAGGCUACAUUAUAUAUUCUUAUUGUAGAAUAGCAAAGAUACUACUGCAUCUUCUUAUGAAACAUUUAUACAAUAAAGUUCAUUUUUCCUUUUAAAUUUUCAAGAACAGGUGAGAAUGCGGAUUUGGUGCGUCAGUGGUGGAAACUGAGGUUGGACAAGGUGGCAGAGGACAGAACUGAAGAGCUCAAGAUUAAGGGGGUUAUACAGUGUGACAACUUUGCAGCAGUUUGUCUUGCCUUGAAAAACUAAUUACUUGGAAUUUUGGACACCUUGAUUCUUUCCUUCUAGCUAUAAACAUUGCUUCUUAAAAAGGACAGCAUGAAAGACGACAAGCAACUCAGCUCUUUUUGAAUAUGGAUUUUCUUUUUAAUAAAAGAGGUUCAUUACCUUCAUAGUAGAUUUGUAGAGUUCAUCGUCUGUCAUAAAAUCUGAAACCAGGAUUCCCAACUAAAUUCUUAAGAUACCUAGUCCUAUAGCAUCCAAGUACAGUCUACUGCUCCCAGCUAGUUUAGUUGACUUGCAGUACAGUUUAACCAAGUCAUUCUUUUAUAUCCAGCAACCAUAUUUUGUUUCUGUAGAGUGUUUUAACACCUUCAUGAAGUGUGUGGGUGGGGGAGAAGGGGAUUGUAAAAUUAUUGUCAGGGGCCCUUACGGGCAGUUCAGCCAAAACUAAUUUCCCAGUUGGCUAAACCUGCCAGAGACCAACCUGGCAACCUCCCACCGUAGCUGAUAACUGUCUGGCCAUUAUUAGGGGAUCCUGAAAGGUGGGGAGAACAACCUCCCCUUUAAGUCCAUCUGUAGCAGCAGACUGCAGGCCAGCCAACAGUUCUUUAUGAAGGCCUGUUGUGGUAAGCCUCCCUGGAUCCUGUGCUCUUAGUUUUCUGACUGCUGACAUCGCCUGACUUGGUUUCUGGACUGUGGCUGUUUGGAAAUUCCCCUUGGCUUUGGUAACUUGAUCUCUGACUCCAGAACCCUGACUAGUCCUCUGACCUGGCCUCUGCUCCUGUAAUUCCCCCUUGGUGUGAGUGCUUUGGACUCUGCCUCCAGCUUCUGCUCUCCCCCAGUGGACUAAUCACUAGACCAGUGGUUCUCAAACUUUUUUUUUCGCAGACCACUUGAAAAUUGCUGAGGGUCUCGGCAGACCACUUAAACUUAUUUUUGUUCUACAAAUCAAAGCACACAAUUCAUAUUUUAAUAUCAGUAGUCUUACCUUACAAGUACAGGUAUUCUUGAUUGUUCUGCAGCCUUUCUGUGGACCACCUAAAUGGAGCUUGUGGACCAGUGGUGGUUCGCAGACCACAGUUUGAGAACCUCUGCACUAGACCACACUGCCUGAGGCCUAAUCCUUUCAAUUACUGUUGUCAGUUUUAAAGUUCUCGUAUAUCAAAUAUUCAGUAACAGAGAUUUUGGCAGCACAUGAAAUUAGUGGAACAUACAUUGCAAGCACCCAUUUUUAAUACAGAAAGUAAAUGCUAUAGUGAAAGGUAAAGGUAUACUUGCAUAUGUUGUAAGUAAAAGGUUUAACUAUAAAUAACUGAAGAAGUUCAGGGUAGUAACAGAAAAGCAACAAUGUGUACGAACUUCUUGAGGAUUGUAUUUCUAACUGUGCUUGUACUCUUUUCAUGUCUGAAGACUGACAGAUUCCAAACGCUAUUCUUCCUGGGAAUGAGCCAGUGCUCUCUGCCAUGAUUUUAACUUCCUCUUAUGCCUGUAUUUGAUAAAGCGUAUAUGUAGUCACUAACUGAAUAUAGUGGUUAACAAGCUGUAAUUACAGCCCACAAAAUAUUUUCUAGAGUUAGUUUCAUAAUGUCUAAUAUAGAAUGCUUUUUGGAAAAAAAUAUGGGAGCCAUGAAAACAAGACAUUUUCUGUAUCAACAAAAUCAUCUGUGUAUGAUGAGAAGCUGAAUAAGAGUAUAAAGGACCAGUG